rnacentral:lncRNA from 1 species
ACAUAUGAAACUUCCACAAACCAUCUUAUUUCCCAACGUUUUGUUUUCUUAUUCUUUAGAAUCCAAGAAAAUUCUAAAUCAACCAUCGCACACAAAAAACACGCCCUGUCAUCAUGCCCUGCCCUCCAACCGCGUAAAAACUCAAUCAACAACAUCAAAUAACUCCAAAAGUCAAGUCACCGUCAAAAGCAUCCCUACAUCGCGUUCACACUCGCAUACACGCUCACCGUCCACCCGC